AUUGAACGCUGGCGGCAUGCCUAACACAUGCAAGUCGAGCGGAGCGGCGGACGGGUGAGUAAUGCCUAGGAAUCUGCCUGGUAGGGGGGGAUAACGUCCGGAAACGGGCGCUAAUACCGCAUACUAUCAGAUGAGCCUAGGUUGGAUUAGCUAGUUGGUGGGGUAAAGUCCUACCAAGGCGACGAUCCGUAACUGGUCUGAGAGGAUGAGUAGUCACACUGGAACUGAGACACGGUCCAGCCUCCUACGGGAGGCGGAAGUGGGGAAUAUUGGAUAAUGGGCGAAAGCCGGAUCCAGCCCUGCCGCGUGGGUGAAGAAGUUCUUCGGAUUGUAAAGCACUUUAAGUUGGGAGGCGUUACCAUCAGAAUAAGCACCGGCUAACUUCGUGCCAGCAGCCGCGGUAAUUC
rnacentral:rRNA from 1 species